AGCUUGUUGGUGGGGUAAAGGCCUACCAAGGCUUCGAUGGUUAGCUGGUCUGAGAGGAUGAUCAGCCACACUGGAACUGACACACGGUCCAGACUCCUACGGGAGGCAGCAGUGAGGAAUUUUGCGCAAUGGGGGAAACCCUGACGCAGCAACGCCGCGUGAGUGAUGAAGGCUUUCGGGUCGUAAGCUCUGUCAAGUGGGAAGAACCUGCAGUAUGCUAAUAUCAUAUUGCACUGACGGUACCACUGAAGGAAGCACCGGCUAACUCCGUGCCAGCAGCCGCGGUAAUACGGGGGGUGCAAGCGUUAUUCGGAAUCAUUGGGCGUAAAGAGCACGUAGGCGGCUUGGUAAGUCAGAUGUGAAAGCCCGGGGCUUAACCCCGGAAGUGCAUUUGAUACUGUCAGGCUUGAGUAUGGGAGAGGGAAGUGGAAUUCCUGGUGUAGAGGUGAAAUUCGUAGAUAUCAGGAGGAACACCGGUGGCGAAGGCGACUUCCUGGACCAAUACUGACGCUGAGGUGCGAAGGCGUGGGUAGCAAACAGGAUUAGAUACCCUGGUAGUCCACGCAGUAAACGUUGUUCACUAGGUGUAGCGGGUAUUGACCCCUGCUGUGCCGCAGUUAACGCAUUAAGUGAACCGCCUGGGGAGUACGGCCGCAAGGUUAAAACUCAAAGGAAUUGACGGGGGCCCGCACAAGCGGUGGAGCAUGUGGUUUAAUUCGACGCAACGCGAAGAACCUUACCUGGAUUUGACAUCCCGGGAAUCCUAUCGAAAGACUGGAGUGCCCUUCGGGGAGCCCGGAGACAGGUGCUGCAUGGCUGUCGUCAGCUCGUGUCGUGAGAUGUUGGGUUAAGUCCCGCAACGAGCGCAACCCUUGUCUUUAGUUACCAUCAUUCAGUUGGGGACUCUAAAGAUACUGCCCCGGUCAACGGGGAGGAAGGUGGGGAUGACGUCAAGUCCUCAUGGCCUUUAUGUCCAGGGCUACACACGUGCUACAAUGGGCUGUACAAAGGGUCGCGAACCCGCGAGGGUAAGCCAAUCCCAAAAAGCAGUCCCAAGUUCGGAUUGGAGUCUGCAACUCGACUCCAUGAAGCUGGAAUCGCUAGUAAUCGCGGAUCAGCAUGCCGCGGUAAAUACGUUCCCGGGCCUUGUACACACCGCCCGUCACACCAUGAGAGUUGGUUGUACCAGAAGUCGUCGGGCUAACCUUUUUAAGGAUGCAGGCGCCUAAGGUAUGGCUGAUAAUUAGGGUGGAGUCGUAACAAGGUA
rnacentral:rRNA from 1 species